rnacentral:rRNA from 1 species
GAUGAACGCAGGCGGCGUGCCUAAUACAUGCAAGUCGAGCGAAUGGAUUAAGAGCUUGCUCUUAUGAAGUUAGCGGCGGACGGGUGAGUAACACGUGGGUAACCUGCCCAUAAGACUGGGAUAACUCCGGGAAACCGGGGCUAAUACCGGAAAACAUUUUGAACCGCAUGGUUCGAAAUUGAAAGGCGGCUUCGGCUGUCACUUAUGCAUGGACUCGCGUCGCAUUAGCUGGUUGGUGAGGUAACGGCUCACCAAGGCAACGAUGCCUAGCCGACCUGUGAGGGGGAUCGGACACACGGGGACUGAGACACGGCCCAGACUCCUAAGGGAGGCAGCAGUAGGGAAUCUUCCGCAAUGGACGAAAGUCUGACGGAGCAACGCCGCGUGAGUGAUGAAGGCUUUCGGGUCGUAAAACUCUGUUGUUAGGGAAGAACAAGUGCUAGUUGAAUAAGCUGGCACCUUGACGGUACCUAACCAGAAAGCCACGGCUAACUACGUGCCAGCCGCCGCCGUAA